GUGGGGAAUAUUGGACAAUGGGCGCAAGCCUGAUCCAGCCAUGCCGCGUGAGUGAUGAAGGCCCUAGGGUUGUAAAGCUCUUUCACCGGUGAAGAUAAUGACGGUAACCGGAGAAGAAGCCCCGGCUAACUUCGUGCCAGCAGCCGCGGUAAUACGAAGGGGGCUAGCGUUGUUCGGAAUUACUGGGCGUAAAGCGCACGUAGGCGGGGAUUUACGUAAGGGGUGAAAUCCCGGAGCUCAACUCCGGAACUGCCUUUGAUACUGGGUACCUAGAGUAUGGAAGAGGUAAGUGGAAUUCCGAGUGUAGAGGUGAAAUUCGUAUAUAUUCGGAGGAACACCAGUGGCGAAGGCGGCUUACUGGUCCAUUACUGACGCUGAGGUGCGAAAGCGUGGGGAGCAAACAGGAUUAGAUACCCUAGUAGUCC
rnacentral:rRNA from 1 species